GGUUCAUUCAAAUUUCUGCCCUAUCAACUUUCGACGGCUGGGUCUUGGCAGCCAUGGUGACAACGGGUAACGGAGGGUUAAGGCUCGACCCCGGAGAAGGAGCCUGAGAAACGGCUACUACAUCCAAGGAAGGCAGCAGGCGCGCCAAUUACCCAAUCCCGACCGGGGAGGUAGUGACAAUAAAUACUGAUACAGGGCUUUUUUGGGUCUUGUAAUUGGAAUGAGUACAAUUUAAAUCCCUUAACGAGGAACAAUUGGAGGGCAAGUCUGGUGCCAGCAGCCGCGGUAAUUCCAGCUCCAAUAGCGUAUAUUAAAGUUGUUGAGGUUAAAAAGCUCGUAGUUG
rnacentral:rRNA from 1 species